AAUAGGGGGCUGCUCUCGGCUAAGGGGACUGUUUUCGGCCACUUGGAGAAAAAAUUAUUUGAUUGUUGAAAAAAUUAUGUGAAUUGUUUAGAAUGUUCUUGAAUGUUGUUAGUAUGGAUUUGGGUGAAUAAUCGAAUGUACGAACGAUAUUGUGGCUUGAAAGUAAGCCAUUGAGUUGAAUAAUUGGAAAUUUGUCGAAUGAUGAAAAAGAGAGCUAUUAAUGUUAUUUUGCCUUCCGAAUUUAUUAUUGAUGUUGCUAGGUUGGUUAUUGUGGUUGUUGUUGUUGAUUUUGAGCGAGAUAAAUUCUCGGGAUGACCUAUUUACAGGGGAAAUGCUGCCGAAUUUUCUGUAGAAUUUAAUGUUAGUUGGAAUAAAUGGCUUAAGUGCCUAUGGUUAAUAUUGGAUAUUCGUUGGCAUAUUUGUAGACCUUGGGGAGCCCGAGGCGUAGAUUGGAAUUUACUUUAGAUUGGCCAUCUUGGAGUGCGUACGAGGUACAGACGCACAGUUUGGUGAUCUACCCAUUUAGGACACCCUCUUCUGCUGUUUGGAGUGCUCUUCUCAUUUCAGAGCACACAUUUUGGUAUAUAUUUGUUCGCUAUGUAUAUAUGUAUUUGUUCAGGGGUACGGAGGGGCCCUGUCCCGCCAUAUGUUUCGGUUUGUCUGUUUAGAGGUUUGUAGACGUAUUUGUGGGUGUGUGUGCCUACUUCUGUACAGAUGAGUUUAUAUGACCCUAUUCGCUAUGACAGCCUUGUCGGCUUUUGACGUAUUUGACAGCCU